rnacentral:rRNA from 1 species
AGUGAACGCUGGCGGUAGGCCUAACACAUGCAAGUCGAACGGCAGCACAGUAAGAGCUUGCUCUUACGGGUGGCGAGUGGCGGACGGGUGAGGAAUACAUCGGAAUCUACUUUUUCGUGGGGGAUAACGUAGGGAAACUUACGCUAAUACCGCAUACGACCUACGGGUGAAAGCAGGGGAUCUUCGGACCUUGCGCGAUUGAAUGAGCCGAUGUCGGAUUAGCUAGUUGGCGGGGUAAAGGCCCACCAAGGCGACGAUCCGUAGCUGGUCUGAGAGGAUGAUCAGCCACACUGGAACUGAAACACGGUCCAGACUCCUACGGGAGGCAGCAGUGGGGAAUAUUGGACAAUGGGCGCAAGCCUGAUCCAGCCAUACCGCGUGGGUGAAGAAGGCCUUCGGGUUGUAAAGCCCUUUUGUUGGGAAAGAAAAGCAGCAGGUUAAUACCCCGCUGUCCUGACGGUACCCAAAGAAUAAGCACCGGCUAACUUCGUG